rnacentral:rRNA from 1 species
GAUGAACGCUGGCGGCGUGCCUAAUACAUGCAAGUCGAGCGAACAGACGAGGAGCUUGCUCCUCUGACGUUAGCGGCGGACGGGUGAGUAACACGUGGAUAACCUACCUAUAAGACUGGGAUAACUUCGGGAAACCGGAGCUAAUACCGGAUAAUAUAUUGAACCGCAUGGUUCAAUAGUGAAAGACGGUUUUGCUGUCACUUAUAGAUGGAUCCGCGCCGCAUUAGCUAGUUGGUAAGGUAACGGCUUACCAAGGCAACGAUGCGUAGCCGACCUGAGAGGGUGAUCGGCCACACUGGAACUGAGACACGGUCCAGACUCCUACGGGAGGCAGCAGUAGGGAAUCUUCCGCAAUGGGCGAAAGCCGGACGGAGCAACGCCGCGUGAGUGAUGAAGGUCUUCGGAUCGUAAAACUCUGUUAUUAGGGAAGAACAAAUGUGUAAGUAACUAUGCACGUCUUGACGGUACCUAAUCAGAAAGCCACGGCUAACUACGUG